CCUACGGGCGGCUGCAGUGGGGAAUAUUGGACAAUGGGGGCAACCCUGAUCCAGCCAUGCCGCGUGUGGGAAGAAGGCCCUCGGGUUGUAAAGCACUUUCAGUGAGGAAGAACGCCUGGUGGUUAAUACCCAUCAGGAAAGACAUCACUCACAGAAGAAGCACCGGCUAACUCCGUGCCAGCAGCCGCGGUAAUACGGAGGGUGCGAGCGUUAAUCGGAAUUACUGGGCGUAAAGCGCGCGUAGGUGGCUUGAUAAGCCGGUUGUGAAAGCCCCGGGCUCAACCUGGGAACGGCAUCCGGAACUGUCAAGCUAGAGUGCAGGAGAGGAAGGUAGAAUUCCCGGUGUAGCGGUGAAAUGCGUAGAGAUCGGGAGGAAUACCAGUGGCGAAGGCGGCCUUCUGGACUGACACUGACACUGAGGUGCGAAAGCGUGGGUAGCAAACAGGAUUAGAUACCCCAGUAGUC
rnacentral:rRNA from 1 species